rnacentral:rRNA from 1 species
GCCUAGCCAUAAACAUUGGUAGCACAUUACACCCACUACCCGCCUGGGAACUACGAGCAUCAGCUUGAAACCCAAAGGACUUGGCGGUGCUUUAGAUCCACCUAGAGGAGCCUGUUCUAGAACCGAUAACCCCCGUUCAACCUCACCUUUCCUUGUCUCUCCCGCCUAUAUACCGCCGUCGUCAGCUUACCCUGUGAAGGUUAAAUAGUAAGCAAAAUUGGUACAACCUAAAACGUCAGGUCGAGGUGUAGCGUAUGGGAAGGGAAGAAAUGGGCUACAUUUCCUACUACAGGAAAUACGAAUGAUGUACUGAAACGUAUAUCUGAAGGAGGAUUUAGCAGUAAGCAGGAAAUAGAGCGUCCCGCUGAAAUUGGCCCUGAAGCGCGC